rnacentral:rRNA from 1 species
GACCGGCAAACGGGUGCGGAACACGUACACAACCUUCCUUUUAGUGGGGAAUAGCCCGGGGAAACCCGGAUUAAUACCCCGUAACAUAAUGAAGUGGCAUCACUUUAUUAUUAUAGCAGCAAUGCGCUUUAAGAUGGGUGUGCGACUGAUUAGGCAGUUGGCGGGGUAACGGCCCACCAAACCUACGAUCAGUAACUGGUGUGAGAGCACGACCAGUCACACGGGCACUGAGACACGGGCCCGACUCCUACGGGAGGCAGCAGUAAGGAAUAUUGGUCAAUGGACGCAAGUCUGAACCAGCCAUGCCGCGUGGAGGAUGAAGGUCCUCUGGAUUGUAAACUUCUUUUAUCUGGGAAGAAAUCCACGAAUUCUUUUGUGGUUGACGGUACCAGAUGAAUAAGCACCGGCUAACUCCGUGCCAGCAGCCGCGGUAAUACGGAGGGUGCAAGCGUUAUCCGGAUUCACUGGGUUUAAAGGGUGCGUAGGUGGGUUGGUAAGUCAGUGGUGAAAUCUCCAGGCUUAACUUGGAAACUGCCAUUGAUACUAUCAAUCUUGAAUACCGUGGAGGUCAGCGGAAUAUGUCAUGUAGCGGUGAAAUGCUUAGAUAUGACAUAGAACACCAAUUGCGAAGGCAGCUGGCUACACGAAUAU